rnacentral:rRNA from 1 species
AAUCAACGCUGGCGGCGUGCCUCAGACAUGCAAGUCGAACGAGAAAGUCCCCUUCGGGGGAUAAGUAAAGUGGCGCACGGGUGAGUAACACGUAGGUAAUCUACCUUCGGGUGGGGAAUAACCCAGGGAAACUUGGGCUAACACCGCAUAAUGCAGCGGCACCACAUGGUGACAGUUGUUAAAGCGGGGGAUUUUCGGACCUCGCGCCUGAAGAGGAGCCUGCGGCGGAUUAGCUAGUUGAAAGGUAACGGCUUACCAAGGCAACGAUCCGUAGCCGGCCUGAGAGGGGCGGUCGGCCACACUGACACUGACAUACGGGUCAGACUCCUACGGGAGGCAGCAGUCGGGAAUUUUGGGCAAUGGGCGAAAGCCUGACCCAGCAACGCCGCGUGAAGGAUGAAAUCCCUCGGGAUGUAAACUUCGCAAGAAUGGGAAGAAUUAGCGAGCGCUAAUGCCGCUCGUGAUGACGGUACCAUUUGUAAGCUCCGGCUAACUCCGUGCCAGCCG